GUCCCCAUAGACUACCAUGUUAAAUUGCCCGACUUUAGAGCAGAAUUAAACCUGUUUACACCCUGGUACAAAAAUUGGUUUUAGUCUCAAUCGCGAGGUUCUUCCUUCAUGACAACUCUGAGGGGGGUGAAUUUUUUAAGCGGUAUCGAGGUUUGAAAUUCACGUGACGUCACAGUCAGCGCGACGACUGCAACUCCUAGCCCGCUGCCUGCUCGGCUUCACCUGAGCUAACAGGCUGCUCCCCGGUCAGUGAACAACUCAUGAGACCGAGGAAACGCUUCCACUCACACAUCGGAUGAAUAACACGGUUUGAUGUUCUGCUUGUUCUGACGGACAAGUUAAAGACGUCUGCGCUCCCAUUUCUAUGGAUGUCCAACAUGAGACACAACUGGAAUCCAACCAGACUAAAUACUGAGUCAUCACUUCAACACUGACUCCAGCAAUGACUGACAACUCUAAACAGUUGCAGCCUGAAGCUGCCAAUCUCCACCAUGUUGCUGCUGAGGACAUCAGGUGCUGCAGUGCUUCAUCUAAUGAAAAGAAGAAACUCAUUAUUAAAGAAUGUUUUGGUUUGUGUAUGAAGCACCACAGAUUUCAGGCAGAACCGAUGUAUUGGGCUCUUGGUUUGUACCCUCGUGGUUAAAUGCACAUAUUUUAAGCCGCUUUGGAUAAAAGUACUGAAAGAAAUAAAACAUUUUACAGAUAGAUAAAAUGUCUUUUGACCUCAUCUGUAAUAUUCAAGGUGAUUAUCUCCCACAGAGCUGUUGAUAACAUACCACAUCUAGUCUCUCCACUUCCCUCAGUGU